rnacentral:lncRNA from 1 species
UGAAACGAAUCGUUGAAGAGCUACCCACGAUGUAGAGAUUUAUCAAAUUCACAUUCCAGCUACAGACCCCGACUGAUAUGUGGUCUCUGAAAUCUCUCUGGACGCCGAAAAUUUAUCAUACGCUCAAACUUUUACCCAACAUAUAUGAGGUGAGGUACUGCCGUGGAUUUUUUUACCCCCGGACUACCAACGUGAAUCGACGAAAAUAAAUCGAUUUUGAAACAUGAUCUGAAAGUUGAAAGUUCAGCGGGUUCUGGUUUCGUUGUGGUGAGGAACGUCGAAAAGAAAACGGCGGUUGUUGGAGUUGAGAGUCCGACCAUACCUAUAUUGAACUUCAGAGUGGCCGUUGCAGUGUUGGAAUGGCUAGGUUCAACUCGACCGAAUAGAAUUUCAGUCUAUGAAUAAAACCGAUGCGAUAGACACGUAAAAACUCUCAAUCUGUCGAACUGUCAAUUGGAAG